rnacentral:tRNA from 1 species
GAUUUCGUAGCUCAAUUGGUUAGAGCGUCGGUCUGAUACACCGGAGGCUGAAGGUUCGAGCCCUUCCGAAAUUACAA